GAUCCAUCGUCACUUUGGAAAUGAAAACGCUACUCUAUCAACGAGUUACCUGCUUGUCUUCGAGAACUACGUGCUCCGAGAUGGCCGCCUUUGCCUUUGGUACAAGAAAACUUGCUGUAGAAAUGCGAGAGCUUCUCGGCGUCGAAGCCUCUGUCAGUGACGAGAAGCUUGGAAAAUCUCUGCUUGGCGACUCUCCUCGUCCCGGCCUGGAAAGAACGAACAAGCGAUGAGGAAAAACCAGGAAACGAGCAAUCUUGUAGCUACCUGCGACGAUUGUAAGCCCAAGACAACGCUCCAGGCCUCGCCUAGCCGAUGCAAGAAACUUUGGCUGUGAUCUCCUCCACCAGCGCAGCGAAUUUGACUGCUUCUUCGUCGUGAUCUCGGCACCAAAGCUCGCUGGCUGUGAUGGAAGCGCGGAUCACAAAAACCUCUGGCGCUGUCCAUUCGAUUCGAUUCGAGAAAAAUAAGGGAAAGGGGAGAGAACUCCACUGUACACAGGCUAGCUAGGAAAGAGUUUUUUACAACCACGUAAGAACGUAAGAACUAACGGCUAGUUUCUUCUGUGGAACCUUUU